CAGCCAAGACAGGGGACAAGCACAAGAGGUACCCAGUCAAAAAUCCCCAGAAGACAAAAGGACAAAACCCAGUGAAGGAAGUAGUGCACUGCACUCUGAGCAGGCUAAAGGAUGAGCAGUUCCACACCUCCUCAACACUCCUGGCAUUCACAACAAGGAAAAGAUUAUGCAUAAAGUAGUUCCAAUUGGGGCUCCAAACCAGUGCAUCAAGA